rnacentral:misc_RNA from 1 species
GGGGACAUGUAUUUUUGGAUAGGAGCAUAUUAUUUUAGUAUGCUAAUAUGGAAAGUAUUGCAUAUUAUUAUUAAAGUUAUAUUCUUAUGUAACGCUUAUAUGCCAUCUCUAUUAUAAUAGUUUUCUUAACAAUUGGGGUAGAAUUGAUAAGGGGUAAAAGUUUAGGAUUUAAUUAGUAAUUUUUAUAGUAUAGGGUAGAAUUGCAAAAAUUUGAAAAGUAUAAGGUUUUUUGGCAGUUAUCCCUUACCAUUUCUGGUUUUCUUCUAUGGUUACUUUCUAAUACAUCAAUG